GAGGAUGAGGAGUAAAUGAAAUGCGACACAGACGGGGUGCGAUGCCUCAUGACCGUAAAAGUAAAUCAUGAUGUAAAUAUUUAUUACCUCUGCACAAAUUUAAACAUUCGCAGCUAUGGGCUUUAACGUGUACGUAUUUGUUAACCUGAUUUUGUGUGUGCGCAGUGUUGCAUUUAUUACACUGUCAUAGCUAAAAUGUAAUAGCAGAAUAUCAUGUUCUGUUGUUGCUUCUAAGAAUAUACUGCAUUUUCUCUGCAUUUGUCCGUCCCAGGAACAGUGGGGAUUGGUGACCAAAAACACACUGGAAAGGGGUAAGAUGUGGAAAAUCGUGGUAUAGUGAGUUCUGGGCAUACUUGGCCCAUGGCAGAAACUGGGUCCAGUCUGACUGAUUGUUAGUCGAGUAUGGUUGCAGAAAUCCAUCUGUCUCCUGAUUCAGUCUCUCAGACUGAGCAUUCGUCUAGGGGUGAUAUCCUGAGGAGAAGCUGAAGGAGAAUCUCUUGGAAUCAGCAACUCUAUCUGUAACUGGAUCAUGGACUUUCUGACCACCAGACCCCAGCAUUUUAGUUCAGGCCAUAACUGCUCUACCACUAUCAGUGACAAUGAUGAGUCUGACUACAGGGAAGAGGUAAAGCACCUAGCUGUAUGGUGCGCUGACAAUAACCUGCUCCUGAAUACCAGCAAAACCAAGGAGCUCAUUGUGGACUUCAGGAAGGAGAAGGGAGACACCCAUGACCCCAUCCACUUUGUUAGGUUGAAGAAACUGUUAUUAAUCAUUUUGUUAUCAUUCCUGUAUGAUUAGCUAUGAGUGUAAAUAUGUAUAUACAUUAUUUUGUUGUCUUCUAUCCACAUGCUCUAGAUUAUAUUAAUAAUAGUAUUUAGCUUGCACGUACCCUGAGUAUGUGCUCAACAGCUGUACACUUAGGUAAAAAACUUUUCUUGUUCUCACCUCCCUAUUCUGCAUGACUCUUGCACCUCCCACUGACUAUAAAUAAAGGAGCCAAGGGGAACCACCCUUUGUAACACAUUCUGCUGUAGGUUGCAUUGCAGAGAGUACCCUUGCAAGUAAAAACUAUAAAGUGUGUUGUCUCAAUAAAAGGUGGAGUUGGGGUGGAAACGCCGGGCGCUUUCCCCAACACACAUCAAUGGCUUGACUGUUGAACGGGUUUCCAGCUUCAAAUUCCUGGGGACCCACAUCUCAGAGAACCUGUCCUGGUCAACCAACAUCUCCACCUGGUCAAGAAGGCACAUCAGCGCCUCUUCUUUUUGAGGACGCUGAAGAAGAACCACGUAUCUGCUGACAUACUGUGUAACUUCUACCGCUGUGCGAUAGAGAGCAUCCUGACCAACUAUGUUACAGUCUGGUAUGGAAAUUGGUCUGUUGCUGACUGCAAGGCACUGCAGCGGGUGGUGAAAACCACCCAACGCAUUAUAGGAACUCCACUUCCUGCCAUUGAGGAUGUCCACAAGAAGAGAUGUCUACGACGGGCACACAGCAUUCUUAGGGACUCCUCUCAUCCUGCUAACAAUCUCUCCCAGCUCCUCCCCUCUACAAUGAUUAAGAAUGGUGUUAUCUAAGGUAGGCUUCUAAAUAAAGUGGGUGAACUUA